CUCCUCUACCUCUACCUUCUCUCAUUCCAUCUUUCUUUUGUAAUUACUAUGGGCAAGCACAAACAGGGUCUUAAUGGUUGGAUAUAUGGAUCUCAAUAAUUAUUUUGGAUGAAUUGUGCGUGAUUUGGUCUGUCCAGAGUUUGAGUUAUAUUUGUGCAAAUGCUACAUGAGGACAAUAAUUAAUUUGGUCCAAUUUGAUUGGAUGUAUACACGCCCAAUAGUCUCACCAAACAUAGAACCUAGGCACUACAUCAGAUAUCUUCCAUUAGACAAAUUGAAUCUAAUGCACUAUAAUGAUAGCUCAUUUACAUGUAGUAAGCCAUGGCCCCAACAGUAAUUUGCUACUCUUUGCCCGGUUGAAGCCCAGCAGGCGUUUAACAGUAUUCCAAGAACUUAGAAUUUCCCCUUUUAUUUUUCUUUUUUUUUCUUUUCUUUUCUUUUUAAUUGUUUAAUGGUAUUGCAACAACAUAAAAUUUCCCAAUAGAAGAUUUAGGUUCUUUGAGCUACAUAUCAGGGCCUCAACCCAGUUCAAUGGAUGUCUACAGUAGCUAUGAAGAAUUGAAAAUUUCCAUCAGUUGUGAGUUCUAGAUUUGUUGUUGCUGCAACUUGCAAGGGUAUUAUGUUUAUUGUUGGGUCCAGAACGCUCUUCAGUCUCAGAUUGAGAACAUAACUUCAGGUUUCAGGUACCAACACUACAAGAUAGGCAAGCAGGGUUUCAACCAUACGUUUCAAGUUUGUUUGUGGCCUUUAUACAUUUUGCAGAAAGAAUUUAUUGUACUAUUAUUGUGGUGUUUUGUACUGAGCCCUGCCUGCGUGUCUUCAUUUGCAUGUCAGUUGUUACACCUUGCUAGUGGGGCAGAAGCACACAGAAAAAAGAGAAGAGAUGUGAGAUACGUUGGAUUCUUCAUGCAAAGAACCAAAGGAAUUUUCUAACUCUAGGGGCUUUAGUUCAAUAUCGUUCUUUCAUCAUAAUGAUUUCCUGCAGUUGACUAUGUAUAUUUGUUUUGUAGAAUUGCUAUAUUCCUUUUCGGUAUCUGAUUUCAGCUUGUGACAAGGUAUUGUUAUCAUAAUAACACUGAACAUAUUUACAAAAGAAAGCCUGAUUUUGUUCAGGAAUAAUUACCAGCAACUCAAUAUUGUAUUUGCAUAAUAUGAAAAUCAUAUUGAUAAUUAUGUAUACGAAUUUUCAGUCCUGAUGUAGUAUUAUUGCAAGUGGAAAGUCGAUAUUAGCACACAUGAAUCUGAACUUCUAUCGCAGAAUACAGAUGUAGCUAUUUAGCAUCUUCACUCUCCUUGGCAGGUUUAUGUUAAGGAUGUAAAGAAACACCGCUACUACCCUGCUUAGAGAUAGAAUUUUAUUUUGGCUUGGCAAAUGGACAUAAAGUUACAGUAGUUCAAAACCCAAGCAAUGUGUUAGGUUUAUACUCUUGUUAUAGAUAUGGAGUCGAGCAUUAGACUUGAUAAUGGAUGUGCAUUGGAAAAUCAUUCUUGAUCUCUUCCUGGCAUAAAAUAGAUGAAGUUGUUAUUGUUAAUAUGUUCUGACUUCAGUUUUGCUUUCAGGCUACUAACGUGAUAAUGAAUAUUGACGCACAUUUGCUUUUUAAAACGGUAGUGUUGGAUUAAAGAUGGUUUGUACGCUGUUCCCACGGCACCAGGUCCUCAUGCUACUUGAACAAACUAAUUACUAACUCAAGUUUGACUCAAAAUAAGAAUAAUGGGUGCAACGGGGGGAAGUUCAACCAAACUAAUGAUAAAGUAUUGAGGUAUGGAGUUAGAACUAAUAAGAAGUUAGUUAAGAAAGCACAUCAUCCAAGUUACAUCUCCCUUUUAUCAGUUCAUACUUUAAUUUUCUCAGCAGUUAGUGUUGCUCUAUUACCUUUUAUUCUUUCUCAUUAGGCUAUGUCCUGAUUGGAUAUUUGUUGUAGGUUCUCUUUUGGUAAGAACUGAGAGGCCUUAGGAAGCUAUUUUCAUCUUUAUAGAUUUAUGGUUAAGGCUUUAGACUGAACCUUUUCAAAAAUAUUGAGUAAAUGUCCAUGGAAUUUCGUGUAGUUCAGCGGCCAAUUGCUCCACUCCUAACGCUGACCUGGAUGCUUAGGACAGACUCGAUGCUGCAGACCACGAUGCCUCGGCCGCAACCAGACAAUUUUAGUACCUCACGUUCGUCUUUAAUCAUUUAAAUGGAUAUUUUUAGAUCAGAGGCCUUGUUUGAUACAGAUAUUCAAGUUCACGUGCUCAAAUUUGUAAUCUGAAAACAUCACUGAGUGCUAAAGUAUUCUGGUAGCCUGUUAAUUUCUUGAUCGGUGCUUGGCAAGUGCUUGCAGAAAUGCUUUAAUUAGCUGCGAGGGCGGAUGUGAUACUGUAAAUUUCGCGAUUGAUGGUGUGUUUUCCUUGCACACGAAGGAAGUGGUUCUGGACGAUUCUACUUCGAUAUAAUUGUGGUGUAAUGGUUUUAGGGUUAACUAGAGAGGACAUGGCUUUUGGAUUCACCAUGGAUCCUCUGCCUACUCAACUACAGGACUAUUGAGAUGAAUAUGCUUUGUCACUCCAACCAGUUUUGAACUUUUGGUAUAGAUUACAACAACACCAUAUGAAGAAGUUGAUUAUCAGAAGUUCAGAACACAAAAAAGAACGAUCCUCCAUUUGUUCACUGCUUGGUAUUUGGUUGUCUCAUUGGAACCACAUAUGGAAGGUUAUAUGAUGUUAUGUAGAUUUGUCAUUUUGAAUGUGAGCGGAAGCACUGCCCCACUUAUCGUUCGUUUGUGUCCGGAUAGCUUGUUGUAACUUUUUGGCAACAAAUACCAUAGCAAAAUCAUGAUUUUUUCCGGUUA